AGUGAACGCUGGCGGUAGGCCUAACACAUGCAAGUCGAACGGCAGCACAGGAGAGCUUGCUCUCUGGGUGGCGAGUGGCGGACGGGUGAGGAAUACAUCGGAAUCUACCUUUUCGUGGGGGAGAACGUAGGGAAACUUACGCUAAUACCGCAUACGACCUACGGGUGAAAGUGGGGGACGGCAAGGCCUCACGCGAUUAGAUGAGCCGAUGUCCGAUUAGCUAGUUGGCGGGGUAAUGGCCCACCAAGGCGACGAUCGGUAGCUGGGCUGAGAGGAUGAUCAGCCACACUGGAACUGAGACACGGUCCAGACUCCUACGGGAGGCAGCAGUGGGGAAUAUUGGACAAUGGGCGCAAGCCUGAUCCAGCCAUACCGCGUGGGUGAAGAAGGCCUUCGGGUUGUAAAGCCCUUUUGUUGGGAAAGAAAUCCUGUCGAUUAAUACUCGGUGGGGAUGACGGUACCCAAAGAAUAAGCACCGGCUAACUUCGUGCCAGCCGCCGCCGUAAAAC
rnacentral:rRNA from 1 species